UACGUAGGGUGCGAGCGUUGUCCGGAAUUACUGGGCGUAAAGAGCUCGUAGGUGGUUUGUCGCGUUGUUCGUGAAAACUCACAGCUUAACUGUGGGCGUGCGGGCGAUACGGGCAGACUGGAGUACUGCAGGGGAGACUGGAAUUCCUGGUGUAGCGGUGAAAUGCGCAGAUAUCAGGAAGAACACCAAUGGCGAAGGCAGCUCUCUGGGACGGUACUGACGCUGAGGCGCGAAAGCGUGGGGAGCGAACAGG
rnacentral:rRNA from 1 species